CGAGGAGUGCCCAUACAAAGAACUGCUAAUCCGCG
rnacentral:tRNA from 1 species